CCUAACCUUCAAUUCCUUAUAUUCCUCCGUUGAUCCAUCGCUUGCUGCCAUUAUUCAUUAUUUCUCUCUCACACACCACCGACUCUAUUUUUGUUCACUUUCUCGUAAUUAUUUCCUUUUCACAAAACAAAAGCAAAACACAAAAAGCUGAUUUACAUUUACGUUAAAAGAACAAAAACACGAACACAAAGCUUGAUAGCAAUAGAGAGGUUAGGUUCGCCAUUAUUAUCAUAAAAAAAUCAGGAGGAUGCACACGUUGAAAGACAAAGUGAGUGAGAGCCUGUCUCGUUUCUUUGCUGAUUCCCCCAACUCAUCGUCCUCCUCCUCUUCUCCUUCACCUCAGGCCAGGUCGUAUUCUAAAGGGGAGAAACCUGUUUCUUCGUAUUUUUCCUACAUUAUCCCUUCUGUCAGCUUCAAUGGAUUGAGAUCGAAUAAUCAUCAGCAUGAUCUCAAACCAAGUCAUUCAGACACUGAUGGAUAUAGAUAUGUGAACUUAGAAGCUGAAGAUAAAUUCUUAGAUGACUACGUAGAAUGUAGUCCAGUAUUUGGGAAGAAGGCAACUGUAAGUAAUCAAGAAGAUAAUGAAGACCCGGUUUCUGGAAGGAGCACUAGUGGGUCUGAAAUGUUUGAAGAUGCAACUGACCAACCCAGUCCACGGAAGCAUUUACCCUAUCUCAUGGACGAGUCUGUUUUUAUUUCUGCGGACUUGUAUGAAUUUUUGCUGUCGUCCCUUCCUAAUAUUGUAAAAGGGUGCCAGUGGGUCUUGUUGUACAGUACGUUGAAACAUGGUAUAUCACUGCGUACACUUAUUCGCAAGAGUGCUGAACUUUCUGGCCCUUGUUUGCUGAUUGUUGGUGAUCGGCAAGGUGCUGUGUUUGGUGGGCUGCUAGAAUGUCCCUUAAAGCCUACAGCAAAGAGGAAAUAUCAAGGGACAAACCAGACAUUCGUAUUUACAACCAUAUAUGGUGCACCGAGACUAUUUAGACCAACUGGAAGCAAUCGGUAUUACUACUUGUGUUUGAAUGACAUACUAGCCCUUGGUGGUGGUGGUAACUUUGCUUUGUGCUUGGAUGGAGAUCUGUUAAAUGGAACCAGCGGACCUUGCGAAACAUUUGGGAAUUUAUGCUUGGCUCAUAACCAAGAAUUUGAGUUAAGAAAUGUUGAGUUUUUUAAAUGGUUUGGUCUUUGGAACCUUCUUUGUAACAACUAGAAUAGCUGCAACAACCUAACGCAGAGGAGGGAGUGAUGGCUAUUGUGACGACAAUGCUAUGGGGUUUUAAGCAUGCUUCGCAUUACCUUACCUAGGACAAGGCACUAAGAUGCUUUGCUCACUUGUCAUUCAAGAUCUGUUGUAAUCCUAUUCUUUAUUCAUUUAAUUUAAAGUUACCUCCAUUUGUAAUACCGAAGAGCUCUUAUUUUAUAUAUAUAUAUAUAUAUAUAUAUAUGGGAGAUGAUGUAUUUAUCCAUAAGAUGAAUCAAUAGAAUUUGAGUUUUAGUUAGAAAAUGCUUUUGUAGCCAUGGUAUUCUGAGCAGCCACUCUUGCAUUUCAGUGGCUAGAUGGUUGGUAGCGAAUGCCAUACAACACUGCAGAUUUUCUUUCUAGUGUGGCUGUGACCCAAGCUGCA